rnacentral:rRNA from 1 species
CUCAGUGAGGCCUUCGGACUGGCUCAGGGAGGUUGGCAACGACCACCCCGAGCCGGAAAGUUCGUCAAACUCGGUCAUUUAGAGGAAGUAAAAGUCGUAACAAGGUUUCCGUAGGUGAACCUGCGGAAGGAUCAUU